GUUUUCUUCUCAGAGCUUUGUGAAUACGUGAUCUCUCCAUCUUCAAGUGUGCUUCCAUCCAUUGACAAGAUUUAGAGCUACGGUUUGUUUUAAGGGAAACCAAGGCGUUAACAAGAUUAAAGACGGUUAUAAUCCGGCAACAUGGAUGUUGGAAGUGACAUCUUCAUAUAAAGAAGUGAAAUUGGGGAUUGAUUUUGCAGAUGUGUACAGAAAUUCAGAAUUAUACAGG